GAACUAGCAAAGUUUCUUGAUUUCUAUUCUUACGAUUGUUAAGCGAAAAAGGAAGAAAAGCUAUAUACAAAUUCUGUAUCCUGCCGAUACAAUACAAAAAUAAUGAAUCUAAGACAUUCGAAGAUAUAGACAGUAAAGUGGUUUUUAUAGCUUCAAAUAUUUGUAUAAUAUUUGAGGCAUUCGUGGCUUCAAACAGUUUUGGCAUUGUCAAAAUGAUACCAGGUUGAACAAAAUUGCUUAUGCAAUUUGAUUGCAAUUGAUUUUGCAAAAAUGGAAAAAUGGAAUUUAUAUCUUAUUUUAAAAUCCUCCAAAGAAACAUUAUCUAUGGGUCUACGGAGAAGCUUCAGAAUCAAUUAUUUGUAUGGCCAUGAUAUAAUGUAUAUCUCCAAUUGAAUUAUUUCAAGAUCUUCAAAGAAAAAUAGAAAGGAUUGUCAUAACACACGAGCUGCUCAUUUAAAUGCUUGUCACACAAAUACCAAUCAAUGUAUUGGAGGAUUAACCCUUUGAUGAUAUGGAAAAGAAAUUAGAUAAGUUAAAAAAACCACUUCCCAUCGAAUUUGAAAAGCUUUCCAACAAAACGGUUUGAUCCAAGUGGAAAGAAAAGCAAUGACAAAAGUUCGUGAAAGCAAAUCAAAAAGUUCAUGAAAGCUGCUGAACAUUCAACCAAUUGAUGAGAUCACUUUGCUUUCAACUUGGCAACAUUAUUCAAUUAAUUUGGAAUGAAUAGCCGUCCAUUCGAAAGAUGACGAAUGAAUGAUUGGAAAAAUUGCGCCAAGCAAUCGAAAUGAAAGAAUGCGUUAGAUAAAUAUUGAUGAAUCGGCGGGAAUACAAUAGUUGUAAUUUCAAUUAUUAAAUAUAGAAACAUAUUAUACAAACAGGAGCAAUGAGAUAAAAGUACAAAUACUAUAAAAUAUGCUUUAGCAGCUGUAUAAGCGACUACAAGCACAGUAUCUAUACAAUAUAUAGCAGGGUCUGCAAAAUAUUAAUCCACAAGUUAUAGAGAAAGAAGUAUAACAAUACCGAACACGUCUCUAAUCCUGCUGUUCUCUCAACGGAUUAAAACGCGAGUUCGUUUCCACGUUAUCCAAGAGAUCUUUCUUCCAGCGCUACGUUAUUAUGGUUUGCUCUGUAGGAGUUCACGUCACGUUGUGUACAAUUAUUUUUAAGAAAACGUCCCACAAAGUUUUACUAUUCUCUCACAGAUUUACUACUGUACUAGGUCUUAUAUAUCAUAUUUAUUGUAUUCUAUUGUAUUCUUGUAUUUAUCGAAAAACAAAUUGUAUCUAUCCUAUAUCUAUUUACGCAUAUUUAUUGUAUUCUAUGCAUUUAUCGACAAACAAAUUGUAUCUAUUCUAUGUCU